rnacentral:lncRNA from 1 species
GGAGAGGUUGUGCAGUCCAGCUGCACAUUAGAGCAACCGAUGUCUGCCACAGGGCUAUAGAAGAUGCACUGGCCUCUGUCAGUAAAUGAGCCUGAUGUCUAAGGGUAUUGAAGAGAGAGGGACUGAAAGAAAUGGGGUACCAUAUCCACGUCACCCAAGAAACCACGCUGUGAAUGCUGCGAAGUACAAGCAGGAUCGAAGAGUCAGACCCACACCAUUCCUGCUCACGAUGACACCCUGGCAUCUGAAGAACAACAUGACACCCACCACAAAACGCUGCUGUUGGCUAGCGCUGUCUUAAACGGUGAGGUUUCAUGAGGGAGGUGAGACUGCCAAAGGAAGGCAAGUGGGGGUGUCACAGCAACGGGACCAGGCCACCAGCAUGACUCUAGUCUAUGAGACCUGUAAAAACUCCAGAGAGGGUAGUUGUGGUUUAAUCGUUUCUUCUACCCCUAUAAAGUAAAAGGCAAAGCUAACAGUUACCAUAUGGUAAAGGUAUGAUUCAAAGCCCUGCGUAGUGAGUGCCACGAGGACAAAUAUGCACGCACGAUUAUCUCCGUGCUGAGAGAUGGGGCUGAAUGUAGGUAUGUAUAUACAGUGAAGUCUGUGACUUCAGUGACUUCUGUAAGGAGGUGAAGGCAAGCUCCCAGCGAACUAACAGCCUCCACAGAUGAUCCUUUAUGAACGUUUUGCAUUUGGUGUACUUUCCCUUAAGGCAGCGUGAUGUAUCCCAUCACACACGUGUAUACGUGUGUGUGUGUGUGCAGAGACACUGGGAAUGUCUUAUGUGCAUAUUACACAACAUAUGCCAUUCGUGUAAUCACUUUAGAUAUAUAAAUAAAAUUCGUUUUAUAUACAUAAAUAAAAUAUGUGAAGGUAUUCCUUAAAGGAGCCAUAAAGGCCCACGUGUAGGUGGAUUCUUCAUCACAUCCAAAGAACUGAAAGACCGGGGAUAUAAAGCGGAAUCUUUUUAUAUGAGCGUGUAUCUCUUAUAAUCUCUCCAUAAAAUCCACAUGGCUGCAUAACCACUUCCAGAGAUGCGGAUGGAAGUUAUACCUGGACAGCCCGAAAGCCUUUAAUAAGUAAAGCAGCAUAUAAUCCUAUGAAAUGCCUUUCAGGAGUGAAAUAAUUACAAAGCGCUGGAGCAAGAGCAGCAAACAGCAGGAAAAUCACCUGUGAAUAGAUGUGAGAAACUGGAAGUGUACUCCAGUGUUUGUGUGGUCAUCAAAAUCAAACGUUCAGGAGCUGGAAAUCCAACUGCCGGGAGGGCAGACUGAUACAUUUAUAGGCACGUAUAGCCCGUGCCUUAAACUUUGAGUCUGCAACGUUGUUAGUGAGGUAUCCUCCUUUAUAAUGCUUGGCAUUUGUUCCCUUGGCAUUUAAAGAAGAUGGGCUGUUUUAAUUACAAUUUGAGCGAAUUCUUUAAAAGAAAAAAAAACCAAACUGCAAAAUGACUGAUGCAAAUCCCGGCCACUCGUGAGCACAAUGAAAUUCUACUGAGCAGAGAGGACACCGGGAGAGGCUCCCGAUCAGCUGCAGCAGAGAAUGCCCUGCGCUACGCAGCCCUCAGACGCCGGGAUUCUGAAAUACGAAUUAGACCUCAAAUGCAAAUCAACCUCCGAAGGGGGAGAAGGAAAAAAAUAAUAAUAAAAAAAAAAAAAUCAGAGAGACAUACCGAGUCAAACGCUCCUUUUUCUGCCUAUCUCGUCCCCAGUGUUAAAACAGGCAAAACAAAACAAGUGCACAUCAAGAUAGAGCCAAUUAAGGGGAAGGCAGCGCGGAGGGCGGGUGGGAGGCAGCCACCUCGCCGAGCACAUGGGGAGCGGGAGCGCAUCGCCCCACCUCGAGCCGUCCCUGAGCCUUCCGAGCUCUCCCAGGAGGACAACGGGGGUAAAUCGGAACCGGCUUUGAUUCUGUCAUCCGGUUGCACCUGGGAUAACGCGGAGGAGAGGGGGGAACGGGGCGGACGGCGCCGUCCAACCUCCCGCAGCCACGAGCACAGCGGAUCCGGCACGGGAGAGUUCGGGCAGCGCGGAGCGGUGCGCUUCGGCCAAGGGUGGCACCGGGAUCCCAGCGCAGUGCCGCACUCCGCGCGGCCGGGCUUUACGCACAGCGCAGUACGCGGGAGGUGUCUUUACGUUUAACGUUUUAAUUUGGACAUGCUAAUUAGGCUGUGGGUCUCCACGGUUCUAUCGGCGGAUAGCUGAUCGCUUCCCUCUGCGAGGAAGUGUCUGCUAAAUACAUUUCCCGGCCCCGAUCUCCGUUCCCAGAAGCCCGUCUAGCAGAACCGUCCCGUCGGGCGAAACGGACCUUUAAUAAUGGAAGGCCGAGGGAGGUUCUGCGCAGCGGCGCACCGCCUCGGGCACGGCCCCAACGCGGCCCUCUGCAGCGGAGCCAUCGAAAUAACUCCGUGCCCAGCGAACUUGUUGCUCGCUUUCAGCUCCUCCGCUCACCCCGGCUCGGGUCGGUGCCAGGCGAGGGGCAGAGGCAGCCUGGGGGAGAAGCCGCCGCUGUCGGGGUGAGAAACUUCCCGGGCUCCAAAGCCGCCCGCUCUGGGCGUCGAGGGGCAGCGGCCGCUCCGCUGCUGGGAACUGCGCCCUGGCCAUGUGUUUUCCCCGUGUGGAACGUUGCUCGCAAGUGCGGGAGGUGGAAAGUUUUGUUCACGUCAUUAUCUCAAAGCUUUCCCCGCGCGGUCAGUGGACGCAGAGGCUUCACUCCGUUUUCCGAAUGAAAACCCACGGACGCUUGAUGUGAAAAGUGCAUGCUCCCGUGGGCCGUGCUUUCCCCGAUUACUUUCUUUUUUCUUUUUCUUUUUCUUUUUUUCUUUCACUUUCUUGGCUCCGUCCCGCCAGGAUCUCUCUACGUUUACGGGCUGUACGGUUUCCAGGGCUCCAAUGGGGCUUUCCCUGAUGGAGGCGAGGAACAGAACUUUCCCACUCGCUCGGAAACUGCCGAGGAUCCGGCGGGGGGAGCACACAAAGAGGCCCCAAAUCCCCCCCGGGGCUCAGGGACAUCCCCUGCAGGUGCAGGACCAAAGCUGCAGGGAUGGCCCAAAGCGGUGCAUGUGUCGCUCUCGUCCCCUAUUAUGAGCACUACGGGAGUGAAACGGGGGGUGCGGAGCGGGUUCUUGGGACAGCGGUUCUUGAGCCCACGCACGUUGGUGAAGGGAAACGCGGGGCCGUGCGCGCCGUCGGGCUGAGCCAGGGUUAAUGCCUGCGGGCCCAGACACGCUGUGCUCCGGGCGGGGGGUGGGGGGGUGGUGGCGAGGGGGCUCUGCCAGCUGCUCCCGCAGCGUGGGGAGCGGGAGGGGCGGAAAGGAGGAGCCAUCAGAUUAGGGCACACAAAAACAUUUAAAAAAAUAAAAUAAAAAAAAUAUAUAAAAAGACUACUUUUCCAGGCUUAACACAGCCAUUAAAUAUUAAAAGUUCAAAAAAAAUUAUAUAUAUAUGUAUAUAUAUAAAAGACCACGAGUCGUUUUAUUGCAUCUCCACGGGCUUAAGCGCUUUAUUUGGGCGAUAAAAAAUAUUAAAACAAACAAAUAAAUCAAAAUCGUGUGUGUAAUUGGUGCCCUCACUCCCUUGACGGCCUCGGAUCCCUCGCAGGUAUCGCCCCCCGAUCCCGCAGCUCCACCCCCAGCAAUCCCG